rnacentral:rRNA from 1 species
UAGAGUUUGAUCAUGGCUCAGGAUGAACGCUGGCGGCGUGCUUAACACAUGCAAGUCGAACGGACUUAUAUUGAAACCUAGUGAAAUAUAAGUUAGUGGCGGACGGGUGAGUAACGCGUGGAUAACCUGCCGUAUACAGGGGGAUAACACUUAGAAAUAGGUGCUAAUACCGCAUAAGCGCACAGCUUCGCAUGAAGCAGUGUGAAAAACUGAGGUGGUAUACGAUGGUUCCGCGUCUGAUUAGCUAGUUGGUGGGGUAAUGGCCUACCAAGGCGACGAUCAGUAGCCGGCCUGAGAGGGUGAACGGCCACAUUGGGACUGAGACACGGCCCAAACUCCUACGGGAGGCAGCAGUGGGGAAUAUUGCACAAUGGGGGAAACCCUGAUGCAGCGACGCCGCGUGAGUGAAGAAGUAUUUCGGUAUGUAAAGCUCUAUCAGCAGGGAAGAAAAUGACGGUACCUGAUUAAGAAGCCCCGGCUAACUACGUGCCAGCAGCCGCGGUAAUACGUAGGGGGCAAGCGUUAUCCGGAUUUACUGGGUGUAAAGGGAGCGUAAACGGCAGCGCAAGUCUGAAGUGAAAUGCCGGGGCUUAACCCCGGAACUGCUUUGGAAACUGAGCAGCUAGAGUGCAGGAGAGGUAAGUGGAAUUCCUAGUGUAGCGGUGAAAUGCGUAGAUAUUAGGAGGAACACCAGUGGCGAAGGCGGCUUACUGGACUGUAACUGACGUUGAGGCUCGAAAGCGUGGGGAGCAAACAGGAUUAGAUACCCUGGUAGUCCACGCCGUAAACGAUGA